CUCAGGAUGAACGCUAGCGGCAGGCUUAACACAUGCAAGUCGAGGGGCAUCGGGAGUAGCAAUACUGCCGGCGACCGGCGCAAGGGUGCGUAACGCGUGAGCAACAUGCCCGUAUCAGGGGGAUAAUCCAUGGAAACGUGGUCUAAUACCCCAUAGUAAUUAUGUAAGGCAUCUUAUAUAAUUUAAAGCUUUGGUGGAUACGGAUUGGCUCGCGUGACAUUAGCUGGAUGGUAAGGUAACGGCUUACCAUGGCUACGAUGUCUAGGGGUUCUGAGAGGAAGGUCCCCCACACUGGAACUGAGACACGGUCCAGACUCCUACGGGAGGCAGCAGUGAGGAAUAUUGGACAAUGGAUGGAAAUCUGAUCCAGCCAUGCCGCGUGCAAGGAAGACGGCCCUAUGGGUUGUAAACUGCUUUUGUAUGGGAGCAAUAAGGGCUACGUGUAGUCCGAUGAGAGUACCAUACGAAUAAGCACCGGCUAACUCCGUGCCAGCCGCCGC
rnacentral:rRNA from 1 species